rnacentral:lncRNA from 1 species
AAGAGUCGAAAGAGGAGGGUCUCCGACCUGCAGGUCUUCUUUCGAAGGGAACCCCAAAGUGAGAAUCGAAGGCUUUGCUUGCGGCAACUCCAAGCAGCAUUGUGUUGCCCCUGCUCUAGCAUGACCUCCUCACAGAAUUAACCCUCACCUUACUGCCUAUGCUCUUGUAAAUUCGCCUUCUGGUUAUUUGUCCAUCAGACCCUCACCAAUCUUUGCCCAGUAAUCCUAGCUGUUGAAUCUGCCGAAAUGCCAGUCUCAAGGAGAAUUUGGUCCUGUAAAUACCUGAGGUAUUGACGGUUAAGAGUUCCUAUAGCAUCCAAGGUAUGUCUAAGCUGCAAACUGGCGUCAGUUGGUA